rnacentral:rRNA from 1 species
UACAGAGGGUGCGAGCGUUAAUCGGAAUUACUGGGCGUAAAGCGUGCGUAGACGGUUAUUUAAGUCGGGUGUGAAAGCCCCGGGCUCAACCUGGGAAUUGCAUUCGAGACUGAAUAGCUAGGGUACGGUAGAGGGAAGUGGAAUUUCCGGUGUAGCGGUGAAAUGCGUAGAUAUCGGAAGGAACAUCAGUGGCGAAGGCAGCUCGCUGGGACGUUACUGACGCUGAGACGCGAAAGCGUGGGGAGCAAACAGGG